rnacentral:sRNA from 1 species
UCUAUCUCCAUGACGGAGCGGGUCAGCC